rnacentral:rRNA from 1 species
UACAGAGGUCUCAAGCGUUGUUCGGAUUUAUUGGGCGUAAAGGGUGUGUAGGCGGUUCUUUAAGUUUGUUGUGAAAUCUCCCGGCUUAACCGGGAGGGUGCGGCGAAUACUGAGGGACUAGAGUACGGGAGAGGAAAGUGGAAUUCCUGGUGUAGCGGUGAAAUGCGUAGAUAUCAGGAGGAACACCGGUGGUGUAGACGGCUUUCUGGACCGUAACUGACGC